rnacentral:lncRNA from 1 species
UGACCUCGUGCAUUACACAUAAGGAAGAAUUUUCUACUCACUGCAUGCAGCAGUCUCCAUCUUCACAAAUCAAAGUUCAAACAGGAAGGGGAGGAGGUAAGUGAUAAGUUUUCAUACAUUUUGUGUCAGUAAAAUUGAUAUAUGCAUUUUUAUCUUGAUAAAAUGUAGAUAUUGUCUAGUUGUAAGAAAUACCUCAUAACUUACUAGAAAUGGAGGGAAUUGAUUAGCUUGACUUGAAGAACCAAUCCAAGGAUGCUGCCCUUAACUCCCUGUUACCACAGAGAGUUAAGGGAGUGAAACUAAAAGAAGCAAAUCUGGUUUAUUCUUUAGAAAAGGUUAAACAAAGAUAUGACAAGUUGCUCAAAAUACUGUAAACUAUGUUAAUGGAGAGUAAAGCAUUAGGCAAAAGUAGCUGUGCAUCAUCAAAACCACUAGCCACAAAAACAUCAGUUAUUUAGCCCUGUUUGGUCAUUGCAUAUUACAAUCUGACAAGCUCUCAUCUUUAGAGGUUAGAUUGUAAGGUUGUGUGCAUUGAAUUUUUUCGGACCCAACAUUAGCGGGAUCCUCGUGAGUCUCGCGUACUGGAUAUGCUCUUUUUAGUUUGGAUCCAAUUCAACCGCUGAAUUAAUUCUGUAAUAAAACAAAUCAAGAGCAGAAAAAGAAAGAAAUAUAAAAUUACAUCAAACAAGCCUUUAGUUGAGUGAACAAGACCUCCAAUAUGUUUUCAGAUGUGCCAGUAAUUUUUAUAUGCAGGCAAUAAAUGGCCAAAGAGACUGACAAUGGAGUAGAUGGGUAGCAAGGCAAUUUGUUAUGCAGGGCAUGCAUAUGCACACAUUUUAUCCUAUCACACUCAGAAGUCUUAACUCAAAUAAGCUUGUAUUCUGAAAGUGAUUUUAGUUGGAACCAGGAACCAGUUUCUGCUCUCCUCAUUCUUUCUUGCUCCAAUCACCAAUGUCUUGGAAUGAAUGUUUGAUUGCUGAAUAAGAAUCGAGAAG